AUCGCUGUCUCCGGCCUUUUGGCUAAGAUCAAGUGUAGUAUCUGUUCUUAUCAGUUUAAUAUCUGAUACGUCCCCCAUGCGGGGACUACAUAUUAAAUGGAUUUUUCGAACAGGGAGUCGGAAAUGGGGCUUGCUCCGUCCGCUCCACGCAUCGACCCGGUAUUGCAGUACCUCCGGGAACGGUGCAACACUU
rnacentral:snRNA from 1 species